rnacentral:rRNA from 1 species
GACGAACGCUGGCGGCGUGCUUAACACAUGCAAGUCGAACGAGACGAUUGAAAGCUUGCUUUUGAAAGUCGAGUGGCAAACGGGUGAGUAACGCGUAGGACAACCUGCCCUUUGAGAUGGGGACAACAGUCCCGAAAGGACUGCUAAUACCGAAAUGUUGUGGAACUUCCGCAUGGAAGCUCCACCAAAGAUGACCUCUCCUGAAAGUUAUCGCUCAAAGAUGGGUCUGCGUCUGAUUAGCUAGUGUGGGCAACGGCCUACCAAGGCGACGAUCAGUAGCCGGUCUGAGAGGAUGAACGG